GCCAGCAGCCAUAUCACCCUGCAUCUCACAGGUGUGAGCUGGUCAGUACCUGGAUGGGAGACCUCCUGGGAAAGCUAAGGUUGCUGCUGGAA
rnacentral:rRNA from 1 species